rnacentral:tRNA from 1 species
GCGCCCAUAGCUCAGCCUGGUAGAGCAACUCCCUUUUAAGGAGUGGGUCCUUGGUUCGAAUCCAAGUGGGCGCA